CCAGGAAGCCGUCCUCUUCUACAGCACGACAUGCCGCCCGUGCCGAUCUCCGACACCGAUCGUCGCCCGCAGCCUCGUCCGCAGGGGAGCUGUAACAUGCAAUCUUUUGAGCUUUGGCUAAGCAUUGAUCAAUGUUUUCGGUGCUCUGUUGAUCUAGCUUGCUGAGGCUUCCUGGAGCAGCGGUAGACUAGUCGGAUGGCGAAAAGGCAGCUGUGUCGCUGAAAGCAUUGAGUGCUGAAUAAUGAUUUUAUAAAUAGCAAGAAAAUGGCACGCAAGAGCAAGGGAGAGUCUCUUACAAUGACCCGAACAGUGUGACG